rnacentral:rRNA from 1 species
GGCAUCAUCUGAACAUCAAAGAUUUAUCGCUGAAAGAUGGGCUCGCGUCUGAUUAGAUAGUUGGUGGGGUAACGGCCUACCAAGUCUACGAUCAGUAGCCGGACUGAGAGGUUGAACGGCCACAUUGGGACUGAGAUACGGCCCAGACUCCUACGGGAGGCAGCAGUGGGGAAUAUUGCACAAUGGGGGAAACCCUGAUGCAGCAACGCCGCGUGAAGGAUGACGGUUUUCGGAUUGUAAACUUCUUUUCUUAGUGACGAAGACAGUGACGGUAGCUAAGGAAUAAGCAUCGGCUAACUACGUGCCAGCAGCCGCGGUAAUACGUAGGAUGCAAGCGUUAUCCGGAUUUACUGGGUGUAAAGGGAGCGCAGGCGGGACUGCAAGUUGGAUGUGAAAUACCGUGGCUUAACCACGGAACUGCAUCCAAAACUGUAGUUCUUGAGUGAAGUAGAGGCAAGCGGAAUUCCGAGUGUAGCGGUGAAAUGCGUAGAUAUUCGGAGGAACACCAGUGGCGAAGGCGGCUUGCUGGGCUUUAACUGACGCUGAGGCUCGAAAGUGUGGGGAGCAAACAGGAUUAGAUACCCUGGUAGUCCACACUGUAAACGAUGAUAGCUAGGUGUGGGGGGUCUGACCCCUUCCGUGCCGGAGUUAACGCAAUAAGCUAUCCACCUGGGGAGUA